AAGAGGCGGUAUUGACAGCUGUGGAGGCAGCCCGCGUUCCCGGCAUGCCCCGGGGCGGCGGGGUUGGCUCUAACGAAUUUGAAUGAGGAGCCUCAGCGCUUUCGGCGCCAUUUUCGAGUGAUGCCUGAUCUCAUCAAUCUAGCGGGAGAGACGGGCUAACCUGUCCGAGAGUAUAGCACCACUAGGACUCCGCCGGAAAAAAUCACUAAAAAAAUCGCCAAAAAUUACUCGGAUCAAAGGGCAGUCGGCGGAGCUUCGCCAAGGUUGGCGCAGUCGGUUUUGACCCGUAGGAGAGAGCCAGUUCUGGAGAACAACCUAACUUCUUUGAUUGAAUACUCACAUAAUGCAUUGGAACAUGAUAGGAGAUUAAGAUUUAAUAGUGGUAAAAUGAAGACUAUAAUAAAAUAAUCCCUUGCUUAGCCCAGAAAUUCUUACCUUUCUUACCUACUUGAUGAAGAUGUCAUCUGAAAAGUAUACUGCAAGGAACAACACGUUAUUUAUUAAUUCUGCUUUUAGCAAGGUGGAUAAUUACUAUUCCUUCCUCAUGGAAAAAGUUUUAUUCUAAAUGUUAUUUCUCAUUGAAUAUUAUUUAAAAAGAGAAAGAUUAAUAUUCUAAACUUUUGAGAUAGAUUUUGGCUCUAGUAAGUAUUUAGAUAUAUCACUUACAUAUCUGGGAGAAGAAAUAAGAGACCAUCAUCAAUAUAGUCCCAUCUGCUAAAAAUUUUAUUUUAUUCAUGUCAAGGGAGUACUUAAAACUUGUUUUAUUACUAAAAACUUGAGCUGCAUUUUUAAUGCAGAACUAACUCCUCCACCAGAAAUGUAAGAGUUUGUGUUCUUACUUUGUUUAUUUAUAAAAUACAUUCCAGUUACUUCUUUUGUCUUUUUCUUUAAGGCUAUAUGCAAUGAAAAAUACAUUGACAAAAUGUUUAAACCCUUUAUGUUAAAUUACUGUGCAGGAUGACAAGUUGUUGUUUUUGUCUUUAUUAUGCUGAAAUUAAAUUCAAUGUUUAUAAUUCCUA